rnacentral:rRNA from 1 species
UGCGGAGGGUGCGAGCGUUGUCCGGAAUCAUUGGGCGUAAAGGGCGCGUAGGUGGCCCCUCAAGCGUGCGGUGAAAGUCAGGGGCUCAACCCCUGAUCGGCCGUGCGAACUGGGGAGCUUGAGCACUGUAGAGGCAGGCGGAAUUCCGGGUGUAGCGGUGGAAUGCGUAGAGAUCCGGAAGAACACCGGUGGCGAAGGCGGCCUGCUGGGCAGUUUUGCUGACACUGAGGCGCGACAGCGUGGGGAGCAAACAGG